UACGAAGGGGGCGAGCGUUGUUCGGAUUCACUGGGCGUAAAGGGUGCGUAGGUGGUGAGGUAAGUCGGAUGUGAAAUCUCCGGGCUCAACCCGGAAAUGGCAUUGGAAAACUACCUUGCUGGAGGAUUUGAGGGGGGGAUUGGAAUACUUGGUGUAGCAGUGAAAUGCGUAGAUAUCAAGUGGAACACCAGUGGCGAAGGCGAAUCCCUGGAAAAUACCUGACACUGAGGCACGAAAGCUAGGGGGAGCAAACAGG
rnacentral:rRNA from 1 species